rnacentral:lncRNA from 1 species
UGUUGCUGGUCUCACGAGGCUAACGUCAAGGUCUAUAUGCUGGAGCUCCUUUCAGGAGCCUCGCCAAGAGAAUCUGUUUCCUUGCUCAUUGAGGUUGUUGGCAGAAUUAAUUUAUCUGCAGUGGCAGGAUUUAGAUUCCUGUGUUCUUGCUGGCUGUAAACUCUGGGUCAUUAUUAACUUCCUGAGGCUGCCACAUUGCUGGCUUUCUGACUUCUUCCUCUAUCUUCAAAAUCAGCAAUGAUGGAUGGAGUCUCUCCCAUGUCAAAUCUCCCUGACCCACCAGUCAAAGUUCUUAGCUGUUAAGAAUUCAUGUGAUUACAGUGGACCCACCUGUGAUAAUCCAGGAUCCUCUCCCCAUCGGAAAGGUGGUACCAUCUGCAAAGGGCCAUCUGCAAAGUCCCUUUUACUGUGUGACAUAACACAUUCACGGAUCCCAGGAACUGGGGCAUAACCUCUUUGGGAGAAGCAUUAUCCCGCCUACCACAAACCCCAAGCUUUUAUAUAUCUGGGAAAGUAAAUAAAACAAGUAUAUAAAUAACAGCCACAUAAGGCCGAAUGUGCAUCUUGCUUUAAGAAACUAUAAAUUCAUUGUUCAAUAUCUAAUUAGAAGGGAGUAAUAUAACUCUUCCUUUUAUCAUAUAUCAUUAUAAAGCUUUUAUACUAGGAUCUUCCCCUGUAUAAGGGAUUGUUUUCUCUUAUCUUGGUCUCCUCGUUCCUCAUCGAUUGUUGUUCCUGCAGCAAUUACCGAGCAGCGAAAAUGCAGUGGAAUGGCCACUUUACAGGAGGGAAGCCGUUUCCAAUACUCACGAAACAUCAUCUAAAAGGACUGGACCUACAUCUGCAGUUAACUGCACAAUGGAAGAAACGGCCUCUCCUGGGCAGCCUCAUGGAUGGGGUGAAGAGACAAAGCUUGGGAGUGUAGCAUGUUGAGCACAUCUGCUCAGAGGUAACAUUUAAGCAUUUAGGUUGUCUCCAAGCAUAAAAAUGGAAAUACUGAUCCUGUGACAACACAGCCUGAAUUUUCUGCUUUGCAGAUGCCAGAUUUAUUUUUAAAUGGUGUGAAUCAAAUCUGUGCUGAGAGGCCAACUUCAAAAUAUAAAAGAAAAAUUGGCAAUGGGAGGAUUGUGCUGGUUUGGCUGAAAUGAAGUGCUCUACGGCAUUUCAUUCUAGUGGAGCGUCUGACUGUGAAAAUCCUUCCAAUUGUAAUUUUCUUUGGCUUGUCAAAAGAGGAUUAUGAACUAAAGUCAGUGUUGCAGGAAAUGUCACCUGUCCUUUGAAAGAAAAUAAUAAAUCAAAAUGGCUUUUGUUCAUCAUGUUUAAAAUGAAAAAAAAAAAAAAGUUGAUCCACUUGGAGUCUUCUCUCAUUUCUUGACAAGGCAGUUAAAUAAAUAAAACGGAAUUUUUUGUAAUUGUUACUUCUUGCUCAUCUCAAAAGGGGAAAAGGGAAAUCUUCAUUCAAUACAUAUUCAUACAGAGAAAAUAGAAGAGCAGAGACAGAGACAGAAAGAGAAAUGAGAUGAAGAGUGAAACAAGACCCUGGUAGAGUUCCUCAAGUCAGAUGUUAAGAAAGGUAUCUUUAAAUUAUAAUUUGUUUCUUUGAUAGAUACUAUAUUACAAAUUCAAAAAUGUGAGGUAAAUAAAAACAAAAGGAGUAGAUAACUAUUCCUGAAAAAUUCUAAGUGCUUGUAUAUUUUGCUUUAAGCAAAUAAAGACAAAAUUACCAAACAUAUAACAGAGCUUGAAAUUAUCUGAAUUCUUUUGCCUUGACAAUUUUUUUCAGUUAUUUUAGCAAUAAACAUUGCCUGUGAUGAGUACAUACCACUUCAGAGAAAGAAAGUGAUAUUUCUGGCUUAUCGUAUGGACAUCAUGGCCAUGCUGACACCAUUUCUUUAAAAAAGUAAUUGUUAAUGCUACUUUGUAUGUAUUAAUCUGAAAAUAUAGAAGAGCAUUUUAAUAGUUGAUGCCACCACCAUAAACUCCGUUUCUUGUUGCUGUUGUUAUAAUCAUGUACUAAUGAUAACAUCUGGAAUGUUAAUGUGGUGACAAAUUUAGAAACAGCCAUAGAUUGCAAAGCUGGAAGAUAAUGGCUUACGACAUUUGCUCUCUAAUGUUGCAAUGAUAUGAUUUCAGAUGUGUAAUAAGCCAGUAUGUCAAAGAAGCCAAUAAGCCCAUCAUAAAAGCUAUAUAGAAUUUUGAUAGAGCAUUAUAUCAUCGCUGUGCAUUUUCUAGUAUGGUUUGGUUUGGUAUAGUACAGGCAAAUUUUAAAGUGUGGUUUUAAAAUUAAGAAAUAUUGCAGCCAGGCGUUGUGGCUCACGCCUGUAAUCCCAGCACUUUGGGAGGCCGAGGCGGACAGAUUACGAGGUCAGGAGAUCAGGA